AUUGAACGCUGGCGGCAUGCCUUACACAUGCAAGUCGAACGGCAGCGGGGGAGAAGCUUGCUUUUCCUGCCGGCGAGUGGCGAACGGGUGAGUAAUACAUCGGAACGUGCCCUGUAGUGGGGGAUAACUAGUCGAAAGAUUAGCUAAUACCGCAUACGACCUGAGGGUGAAAGUGGGGGACCGCAAGGCCUCAUGCUAUAGGAGCGGCCGAUGUCUGAUUAGCUAGUUGGUGGGGUAAAGGCCUACCAAGGCGACGAUCAGUAGCUGGUCUGAGAGGACGAUCAGCCACACUGGGACCGAGACACGGUCCAGACUCCUACGGGAGGCAGCAGUGGGGAAUUUUGGACAAUGGGCGAAAGCCUGAUCCAGCAAUGCCGCGUGUGUGAAGAAGGCCUUCGGGUUGUAAAGCACUUUUGUCCGGAAAGAAAUGGCUCUGGUUAAUACCUGGGGUCGAUGACGGUACCGGAAGAAUAAGGACCGGCUAACUACGUGCCAGCAGCCGCGGUAA
rnacentral:rRNA from 1 species